UACGAAGGGGGCUAGCGUUGCCCGGAAUUACUGGGCGUAAAGCGUGCGUAGACGGUUAUUUAAGUCGGAUGUGAAAGCCCCGGGCUCAACCUGGGAAUUGCAUUCGAGACUGAAUAGCUAGGGUACGGUAGAGGGAAGCGGAAUUUCCGGUGUAGCGGUGAAAUGCGUAGAUAUCGGAAGGAACAUCAGUGGCGAAAGCGGCUUCCUGGACCAGUACCGACGUUCAGGCACGAAAGCGUGGGGAGCAAACAGG
rnacentral:rRNA from 1 species